rnacentral:rRNA from 1 species
GAGACGUUUGAGUCCUGGCGUCAGGAUGAACGCUGGCGGCGUGCCUAACACAUGCAAGUCGACGAAGCACGUCCCUCCGAGGCCGUUCGGGCGGAGAGGGCGAUGACUUAGUGGCGGACGGGUGAGUAACGCGUGGGUAACCUGCCCUAUACUGGGGGAUAACAGCUAGAAUGGCUGCUAAUACCGCAUGAGCGCACAGUCCCGCAUGGGACAGUGUGGAAAACUCCGGUGGUAUAGGAUGGACCCGCGUCCGAUCAGCUGGUUGGUGGGGUAACGGCCCACCAAGGCGACGAUCGGUAGCCGACCUGAGAGGGUGACCGGCCACAUUGGGACUGAGACACGGCCCAAACUCCUACGGGAGGCAGCAGUGGGGGAUAUUGCACAAUGGGGGGAACCCUGAUGCAGCGACGCCGCGUGGGUGAAGGAGUACUCCGGUAUGUAAAGCUCUAUCAGCAGGGAAGAAGCAAGACGGUACCUGACCAAGAAGCCCCGGCUAACUACGUG